rnacentral:rRNA from 1 species
CCUACGGGAGGCAGCAGUGGGGAAUAUUGCACAAUGGGGGAAACCCUGAUGCAGCGACGCCGCGUGAGUGAAGAAGUAUCUCGGUACGUAAAGCUCUAUCAGCAGGGAAGAUAAUGACGGUACCCGACCAAGAAGCCCCGGCUAACUACGUGCCAGCAGCCGCGGUAAUACGUAGGGGGCGAGCGUUAUCCGGAAUUACUGGGUGUAAAGGGAGCGUAGACGGCGAGGUAAGCCUGAAGUGGAAGCCCGCGGCCCAACCGGGGAACUGCUGUGGGAACUGUUUUGCUGGAGUAUGGGAGGGGUAAGCGGAAUUCCUGGUGUAGCGGUGAAAUGCGUAGAUAUCAGGAGGAACACCGGUGGCGAAGGCGGCUUACUGGACCAUAACUGACGUUGAGGCUCGAAAGCGUGGGGAGCGAACAGGAUUAGAUACCCCAGUAGUC